rnacentral:rRNA from 1 species
AGUAACACGUGGACAACCUGCCCUGAGGACUGGAAUAAUCCCGGGAAACUGGGGGUAAUUCCAGAUAUGUCAGAACUCCUGGAAUGGGUUCUGGCAGAAAGGCUCCGGCGCCUCAGGAUGGGUCUGCGGCCUAUCAGGGUAGUAGUGGGUGUAACGUACCUACUAGCCUACGACGGGUACGGGUUGUGAGAGCAAGAGCCCGGAGAUGGAUUCUGAGACAUGAAUCCAGGCCCUACGGGGUGCAGCAGGCGCGAAAACUUUACAAUGCGGGCAACCGCGAUAAGGGGACCUCGAGUGCUGGGUUACAAACCUGGCUGUUGGGCUGCCUAAAAAGCAGUCUAUAGCAAGGGCCGGGCAAGACCGGUGCCAGCCGCCGCGGUAACACCGGCGGCUCGAGUGGUAACCGCUGUUAUUGGGUCUAAAGGGUCUGUAGCCUGCCGGCUAAGUCUCUUGGGAAAUCUGGCAUCUCAAGUGUCAGGCUGCCAGGGGAUACUGGUCAGCUUGGGACCGGGAGAGGUGAGAGGUACCUCAGGGGUAGGGGUGAAAUCUUGUAAUCCUUGAGGGACCACCAGUGGCGAAGGCGUCUCACCAGAACGGAUCCGACGGCAAGGGACGAAAGCUAGGGGCACGAACCGGAUUAGAUACCCGGGUAGUCCUAGCCGUAAACGAUACUCGCUAGGUGUCGGCCACGGUGCGACCGUGGUCGGUGCCGUAGGGAAGCCGUGAAGCGAGCCACCUGGGAAGUACGGCCGCAAGGCUGAAACUUAAAGGAAUUGGCGGGGGAGCACAA